GACGAACGCUGGCGGCGUGCUUAACACAUGCAAGUCGAACGGAAAGGCCCUGCUUUUGUGGGGUGCUCGAGUGGCGAACGGGUGAGUAACACGUGAGUAACCUGCCCUUGACUUUGGGAUAACUUCAGGAAACUGGGGCUAAUACCGGAUAGGAGCUCCUGCUGCAUGGUGGGGGUUGGAAAGUUUCGGCGGUUGGGGAUGGACUCGCGGCUUAUCAGCUUGUUGGUGGGGUAGUGGCUUACCAAGGCUUUGACGGGUAGCCGGCCUGAGAGGGUGACCGGCCACACUGGGACUGAGAUACGGCCCAGACUGCUACGGGAGGCAGCAGUGGGGAAUAUUGCACAAUGGGAGGAAGCCUGAUGAAGCGACGCCGCGUGCGGGAUGACGGCCUUCGGGUUGUAAACCGCUUUCGCCUGUGACGAAGCGUGAGUGACGGUAAUGGGUAAAGAAGCACCGGCUAACUACGUG
rnacentral:rRNA from 1 species